GUGCCAGCCGCCGCGGUAAUACGUAGGGUGCGAGCGUUAAUCGGAAUUACUGGGCGUAAAGCGUGCGCAGGCGGUUUUGUAAGUCAGAUGUGAAAUCCCCGAGCUCAACUUGGGAACUGCGUUUGAAACUACAAGACUAGAAUAGGUCAGAGGGGGGUAGAAUUCCACGUGUAGCAGUGAAAUGCGUAGAGAUGUGGAGGAAUAUCAAUGGCGAAGGCAGCCCCCUGGGAUCAUAUUGACGCUCAUGCACGAAAGCGUGGGGAGCAAACAGGAUUAGAUACCCUGGUAGUCCACGCCCUAAACGAUGUCAACUAGUUGUUGGUAGAGUAAAAUCUAUGAGUAACGCAGCUAACGCGUGAAGUUGACCGCCUGGGGAGUACGAUCGCAAGAUUAAAACUCAAAUGAAUUGACGGGGGCCCGCACAAGCGGUGGAUUAUGUGGAUUAAUUCGAUGCAACGCGAAAAACCUUACCUGGCCUUGACAUGUACGGAACUUUCCAGAGAUGGAUUGGUGCUCGAAAGAGAACCGUAACACAGGUGCUGCAUGGCUGUCGUCAGCUCGUGUCGUGAGACGUUGGGUUAAGUCCCGCAACGAGCGCAACCCUUGCCAAUAAUUGCCAUCAUUUAGUUGGGCACUGUAUUGGGACUGCCGAUGACAAAUCGGAGGAAGGUGGGGAUGACGUCAAGUCCUCAUGGCCCUUAUGGCCAGGGCUUCACACGUAAUACAAUGGUCGGUACAGAGGGUUGCCAAGCCGCAAGGUGGAGCCAAUCCCAGAAAGCCGAUCGUAGUCCGGAUUGAGGUCUGCAACUCGACCUCAUGAAGUCGGAAUCGCUAGUAAUCGCGGAUCAGCAUGUCGCGGUGAAUACGUUCCCGGGCCUUGUACACACCGCCCGUCACACCAUGGGAGUGGGUUUUACCAGAAGUAGGUAGUCUAACCGCAAGGGGGACGCUUACCACGGUAGUAUUCAUGACUGGGGUGAAGUCGUAACAAGGUAACC
rnacentral:rRNA from 1 species